AUAGCGUAUAUUAAAGUUGUUGCAGUUAAAAAGCUCGUAGUUGAAUUUCGGGAUCAAUACGUCGGUCGUGCUUCGGUACGUACUGGCGUAAUUGAUUUCUCCCUUCUGACGAACCAUGAUGUCAUUAACUUGGUGUCAUGGGAAAUCAGGACUGUUACUUUGAAAAAAUUAGAGUGUUUAAAGCAGGCUCACGCUUGAAUACAUUAGCAUGGAAUAAUGAAAUAGGACGUUCGAUCCUAUUUUGUUGGUUUUUAGGAUCAACGUAAUGAUUAAUAGGGAUAGUUGGGGGCAUUAGUAUUCAAUUGUCAGAGGUGAAAUUCUUGGAUUUACUGAAGACUAACUACUG
rnacentral:rRNA from 1 species